UACGUAGGGGGCAAGCGUUGUCCGGAUUUAUUGGGCGUAAAGAGCGUGUAGGCGGUCAGGUAGGUCCGUUGUGAAAACUCGAGGCUCAACCUCGAGACGCCGAUGGAAACCAUCUGACUAGAGUCCGGAAGAGGAGAGUGGAAUUCCUGAUGUAGCGGUGAAAUGCGCAGAUAUCAGGAAGAACACCCGUGGCUAAGGCGGCUCUCUAGUACGGUACUGACGCUGAGACGCGAAAGCGUGGGGAGCGAACAGG
rnacentral:rRNA from 1 species